rnacentral:rRNA from 1 species
AACGAACGCUGGCGGCGUGGAUUAGGCAUGCAAGUCGAACGUGAAAGGGGCUUCGGCCCUGAGUAAAGUGGCAAACGGGUGAGUAACGCGUGGAGAACCUGCCCGGAAGCGGGGAUAACACUUCUAACGAGGUGCUAAUACCGCAUGUGUCUGCGUGAGCGCAUGCUCGCGCAGGUAAACGUGGCCUCUGCUCGCAAGCUACGGCUUCCGGAUGGCUCUGCGUCUCAUUAGCUAGUUGGUGGGGUAACGGCUCACCAAGGCGACGAUGGGUAGCUGGUCUGAGAGGAUGGUCAGCCACACUGGGACUGAGAUACGGCCCAGACUCCUACGGGAGGCAGCAGUCGAGAGGCUUCCGCAAUGGGGAAACCCUGACGGAGCGACGCCGCGUGAGCGAUGAAGGCC